AACUUAAAAUUUAAAAAAUGUUUUUAUGUUAUGUCAUUGAUUAUUAUACACUCUGUGAAUGUAUUGUCUUGUCCUGAUGUUAUGUGUUGAGGACCACAAUGGAAAUAAGUCCUGGACUUUAUUGUGUUUUUAUCCUCGAUUGUAUUUGAUGUCUUUUUAUUCAUAUGUAA